UUAAGUUAUUAAGGGCGCACGGUGGAUGCCUUGGCACUAGAAGCCGAUGAAGGACGUUACUAACGACGAUAUGCUUUGGGGAGCUGUAAGUAAGCUUUGAUCCAGAGAUUUCCGAAUGGGGAAACCCAGCAUGAGUUAUGUCAUGUUAUCGAUAUGUGAAUACAUAGCAUAUCAGAAGGCACACCCGGAGAACUGAAACAUCUUAGUACCCGGAGGAAGAGAAAGAAAAUUCGAUUCCCUUAGUAGCGGCGAGCGAAACGGGAAGAGCCCAAACCAACAAGCUUGCUUGUUGGGGUUGUAGGACACUCUAUACGGAGUUACAAAGGACGACAUUAGACGAAUCAUCUGGAAAGAUGAAUCAAAGAAGGUAAUAAUCCUGUAGUCGAAAAUGUUGUCUCUCUUGAGUGGAUCCUGAGUACGACGGAGCACGUGAAAUUCCGUCGGAAUCUGGGAGGACCAUCUCCUAAGGCUAAAUACUCUCUAGUGACCGAUAGUGAACCAGUACCGUGAGGGAAAGGUGAAAAGCACCCCGGAAGGGGAGUGAAAUAGAACCUGAAACCGUGUGCUUACAAGUAGUCAGAGCCCGUUAAUGGGUGAUGGCGUGCCUUUUGUAGAAUGAACCGGCGAGUUACGAUUUGAUGCAAGGUUAAGCAGUAAAUGUGGAGCCGUAGCGAAAGCGAGUCUGAAUAGGGCGUUUAGUAUUUGGUCGUAGACCCGAAACCAGGUGAUCUACCCUUGGUCAGGUUGAAGUUCAGGUAACACUGAAUGGAGGACCGAACCGACUUACGUUGAAAAGUGAGCGGAUGAACUGAGGGUAGCGGAGAAAUUCCAAUCGAACCUGGAGAUAGCUGGUUCUCUCCGAAAUAGCUUUAGGGCUAGCCUCAAGUGAUGAUUAUUGGAGGUAGAGCACUGUUUGGACGAGGGGCCCCUCUCGGGUUACCGAAUUCAGACAAACUCCGAAUGCCAAUUAAUUUAACUUGGGAGUCAGAACAUGGGUGAUAAGGUCCGUGUUCGAAAGGGAAACAGCCCAGACCACCAGCUAAGGUCCCAAAAUAUAUGUUAAGUGGAAAAGGAUGUGGCGUUGCCCAGACAACUAGGAUGUUGGCUUAGAAGCAGCCAUCAUUUAAAGAGUGCGUAAUAGCUCACUAGUCGAGUGACACUGCGCCGAAAAUGUACCGGGGCUAAACAUAUUACCGAAGCUGUGGAUUGUCCUUUGGACAAUGGUAGGAGAGCGUUCUAAGGGCGUUGAAGCAUGAUCGUAAGGACAUGUGGAGCGCUUAGAAGUGAGAAUGCCGGUGUGAGUAGCGAAAGACGGGUGAGAAUCCCGUCCACCGAUUGACUAAGGUUUCCAGAGGAAGGCUCGUCCGCUCUGGGUUAGUCGGGUCCUAAGCUGAGGCCGACAGGCGUAGGCGAUGGAUAACAGGUUGAUAUUCCUGUACCACCUAUAAUCGUUUUAAUCGAUGGGGGGACGCAGUAGGAUAGGCGAAGCGUGCGAUUGGAUUGCACGUCUAAGCAGUAAGGCUGAGUAUUAGGCAAAUCCGGUACUCAUUAAGGCUGAGCUGUGAUGGGGAGAAGACAUUGUGUCUUCGAGUCGUUGAUUUCACACUGCCGAGAAAAGCCUCUAGAUAGAAAAUAGGUGCCCGUACCGCAAACCGACACAGGUAGUCAAGAUGAGAAUUCUAAGGUGAGCGAGCGAACUCUCGUUAAGGAACUCGGCAAAAUGACCCCGUAACUUCGGGAGAAGGGGUGCUCUUUAGGGUUAACGCCCAGAAGAGCCGCAGUGAAUAGGCCCAAGCGACUGUUUAUCAAAAACACAGGUCUCUGCUAAACCGUAAGGUGAUGUAUAGGGGCUGACGCCUGCCCGGUGCUGGAAGGUUAAGAGGAGUGGUUAGCUUCUGCGAAGCUACGAAUCGAAGCCCCAGUAAACGGCGGCCGUAACUAUAACGGUCCUAAGGUAGCGAAAUUCCUUGUCGGGUAAGUUCCGACCCGCACGAAAGGCGUAACGAUUUGGGCACUGUCUCAACGAGAGACUCGGUGAAAUCAUAGUACCUGUGAAGAUGCAGGUUACCCGCGACAGGACGGAAAGACCCCGUGGAGCUUUACUGUAGCCUGAUAUUGAAAUUCGGCACAGCUUGUACAGGAUAGGUAGGAGCCUUUGAAACGUGAGCGCUAGCUUACGUGGAGGCGCUGGUGGCGGUACAAGCGAACACUUUGCCCCACUCUUUGAAAAAGCUGGUGCAAUCGUUAUAGACAAUUCAAGUCAAUGGCGUAUGGC
rnacentral:rRNA from 1 species